rnacentral:rRNA from 1 species
UACGGAGGAUCCAAGCGUUAUCCGGAUUCAUUGGGUUUAAAGGGUGCGUAGGCGGAACGAUAAGUCAGUGGUGAAAGCCUGCAGCUUAACUGCAGAACUGCCAUUGAUACUGUCGAUCUUGAGUAUAUUUGAUGUGGGCGGAAUGUGUCAUGUAGCGGUGAAAUGCUUAGAUAUGACACAGAACACCGAUUGCGAAGGCAGCUCACAAAACUAUAACUGACGCUGAGGCACGAAAGCGUGGGGAGCGAACAGG